UGCGUAGGUGGAUCUGUAAGUCCGUGGUGAAAUCUCUAGGCUUAACCUGGAAACUGCCAUGGAUACUAUAGAUCUUGAAUACUGUGGAGGUCAGCGGAAUAUGUCAUGUAGCGGUGAAAUGCUUAGAUAUGACAUAGAACACCAAUUGCGAAGGCAGCUGGCUACACAAAUAUUGACACUGAGGCACGAAAGCUGGGGAUCAAACA
rnacentral:rRNA from 1 species